rnacentral:rRNA from 1 species
GAUGCCUUAGUAACGGCGAGUGAAGCGGCAAUAGCUCAAAUUUGAAAGCUGGCCCCUUUGGGGUCCGCGUUGUAAUUUGUAGAGGAUGAUUCGGCGAGGGCUCCCGUCUAAGUCCCCUGGAACGGGGCGUCAUAGAGGGUGAGAAUCCCGUAUGUGAUGGGUUGCCUUAGCCAUGUGAAUCUCCUUCGACGAGUCGAGUUGUUUGGGAAUGCAGCUCUAAAUGGGAGGUAAAUUUCUUCUAAAGCUAAAUACCGGCCAGAGACCGAUAGCGCACAAGUAGAGUGAUCGAAAGAUGAAAAGCACUUUGGAAAGAGAGUUAAAAAGUACGUGAAAUUGUUGAAAGGGAAGCGCUUGCAGCCAGACUUGUCCGCAGUUGCUCAGCCGGUCUCCUGACCGGUGUACUCUUCUGCGGCCAGGCCAGCAUCAGUUCGGGCGGUCGGAUAAAGGCCUCGGGAAUGUAGCUCCUCUCGGGGAGUGUUAUAGCCCGGGGCGGAAUGCGGCCAGCCUGGACUGAGGAUCUCGCUUCGGCUAGGAUGCUGGCGUAAUGGCUGUAAGCGGCCCGUCUUGAAACACGGACCAAGGAGUCUAACAUCUAUGCGAGUGUUUGGGUGUCAAACCCAUACGCGUAAUGAAAGUGAACGGAGGUGGGAACCCUCACGGGUGCACCAUCGACCGAUCCUGAUGUCUUCGGAUGGAUUUGAGUAAGAGCAUAGCUGUUGGGACCC